UACGUAGGGUGCGAGCGUUGUCCGGAAUUACUGGGCGUAAAGAGCUCGUAGGUGGUUUGUCGCGUUGUUCGUGAAAACUCACAGCUCAACUGUGGGCGUGCGGGCGAUACGGGCAGACUGGAGUACUGCAGGGGAGACUGGAAUUCCUGGUGUAGCGGUGGAAUGCGCAGAUAUCUGGAGGAACACCGGUGGCGAAGGCGGCGUUCUGGACUGCAACUGACACUGAUGAACGAAAGCCAGGGGAGCAAACGGG
rnacentral:rRNA from 1 species